rnacentral:rRNA from 1 species
AGGGAGUUUGAUCCUGGCUCAGAACGAACGCUGGCGGCGCGUCUUAAGCAUGCAAGUCGAGCGGUAAGUUGUAGCUUGCUACAACCUAGAGCGGCGGACUGGUGAGUAACGCGUGGGUGACGUACCUUCGUGACGGGGACAGCUGGUAGAAAUAUCAGAUAAUACCGGAUACGCUGUACAUUGUCAGAGGAUGUACAGGAAAGGUUCUUUUGAACCGCACGGAGAGCGGCCCGCGUGCUAUUAGUUAGUUGGCGGGGUAACGGCCCACCAAGACGACGAUAGCUACCCGGCCUAAGAGGGUGAACGGGCACAUUGGGACUGAGAUACGGCCCAGACUCCUACGGGAGGCAGCAGCUAAGAAUAUUCCGCAAUGGACGAAAGUCUGACGGAGCGACGCCGCGUGGAUGAUGAAGGCCGGAAGGUUGUAAAAUCCUUUUGGGAGCGAGGAAUAAGGAAUCUGAGAGAAACGGAUUCUGGUGACGGUAGCUUCUGAAUAAGCAACGGCUAAUUACGUGCCAGCAGCCGCGGUAACACGUAAGUUGCGAGCGUUGUUCGGAAUUAUUGGGCGUAAAGGGCAUGUAGGCGGUCUUGCAAGUCUGGUGUGAAAUUCCGUGGCUCAACCACGGAACUGCGUUGGAAACUGCAUGACUGGAGUCGCUGAGGGGCAGGCAGAAUUCCUGGUGUAGGGGUGAAAUCUGUAGAUAUCAGGAAGAAUACCAAUGGCGAAGGCAGCCUGCCAGCAGAUGACUGACGCUGAGGUGCGAAGGUGCGGGGAGCAAACAGGAUUAGAUACCCUGGUAGUCCCU